rnacentral:tRNA from 1 species
CGGGGCGUGGCUCAGUUUGGUAGAGCGCUUGGUUCGGGACUAAGAGGUCGUGGGUUCAAAUCCCGUCGCCCCGA